UCCUAUCAUUCCGUACAAUCUACAAUUCUCGGGAUCAAGUCGUUAAACUUGUCUCAUUUUAGUCAGCACCUUCAAUAGGCUUAGAGAGCUCAUUAAAAUUCAUCUUAUUCACAGCAAAACUGGAAAAGAUUCAAGAAAUCGAGAAAGAGAAAAGAAAAAAGAAAGAAAACGGCUUCAUUUAUGUUAUCUCUGUUCAUUCGUGAAUUCUUUUUGUUUAUCACGCAUUCCGUGGGAUUUGGAGAGAAGCAGGGAUAGAAGAUGGAGUUCAAUAAAGACGAGUUGAAGUUGUUAAUUCACCAGUUCUUGGCUGAAUCGGAUGGAGAACAGUACAGGGAAGCACUUCAAAUGGCAUAUAUUUCCAGAAAGCAAGAGAAGCUUUCUGACCAUGGAGAUGAG